rnacentral:rRNA from 1 species
ACUCCUACGGGAGGCAGCAGUGGGGAAUAUUGCACAAUGGGGGAAACCCUGAUGCAGCCAUGCCGCGUGUGUGAAGAAGGCCUUCGGGUUGUAAAGCACUUUCAGUAGGGAGGAAGGUAGUGUAGUUAACACCUGCACUAUUUGACGUUACCUACAGAAGAAGCACCGGCUAACUCCGUGCCAGCAGCCGCGGUAAUACGGAGGGUGCGAGCGUUAAUCGGAAUUACUGGGCGUAAAGCGCAUGCAGGCGGCCUGUUAAGUCAGAUGUGAAAGCCCGGGGUCUUAACCUCGGAAUUGCAUUUGAAACUGGCAGGCUAGAGUCUUGUAGAGGGGUUAGAAUUUCAGGUGUAGCGGUGAAAUGCGUAGAGAUCUGAAGGAAUACCGAGUGGCGAAGGCGGCCCCCGUGGACAAAGACUGACGCUCAGAUGCGAAAGCGUGGGAGCAAACGAGGAUUAGAUACCCCGUGGUAGCGACUGA